GCUAUUCCAGAAAGAAAAAAAUGCAUUAUAAACUAAUAAACUGUUUUCUCUCUCAUUAUGUUUUCGUCAAUUGUUCAAUCGUUUCAAAUUAUUACUAAAUUUAUGUCUUCUAUAUUAAACAUGCAGACAAAAAGAUAAAGUUGUGGCUUUUUCUUUUGGGGCGUCAUUCAUCAGUUGUUGAGACUGCUCAGCCAGCAGCAUCUGGAUUAAGAGUUGUUGCUUCUGGGCUUUGGUUGGCUCCUGGGGAUUCAGAAGAGGUUGCAGCUGCUCUAUCUCAGGCUUUGAGGAAUCGUAUAGAAAGAGCUUUGCAUGGGCUUUAUUACAUGAGAUUUGGAGAUGUAUUUUCAAAGUUUCAUCAAUUUCAAAGAGAAGAACUAUUCAGAAGAGGACAGCCUGCAGUUGAGUUUGUCUUUGCUGCGACCGAGGAGGCAAUCUUCAUACAUGUCAUAGUGUCCUCAAAGCAUAUCCGGAUGCUUUCCACGGGUGAUUUGGAAAAAGUAUUAAGACAUUCUACAGAGUCAGCCUAUGGACUUCCAGGUUGUUCAAAUUUAUUUCUCAGUUUCUCAGAUUUACUAUUCAUAGAUGUGCUAUCUAUCCCAUCUUUGCUGGUGCUAAAAUAUUUUGGUUAUGCUGGCUUUUGUUUGGUGUGUAAUGAUGGAGAGCAAUGCUAGGAUUUCCAAGGAUUGGUUGAUGAGGAUUGCUGUCCUUUGGG